GUGGCUUCCCACCAAGCGACGGUACAAAAAGAGCUGCUUUUUAUACAGUGCCACGCUAGUUAAGCUUGGAACCUAGCUAGAAGGGGAUACUCCGGACACGUAGCUAAUCCCCCUAGAACCGAGGGAUAAACGUGUGGGCCUUCGGCCCCCUCCCAUAGAAUGAGCCCAAUGGGGUUAGGUAUUGGUGAGGUAAAAGGCCACCAAGCCGACGAUCUUUAGCUGGUCUGAGAGGAUGACCAGCCACCUGGGAAUGAGACAUGCCCAGACUCCUUCGGAGGCAGCAGUGGGGAAUAUUGCGCAAUGGGGGCAACCUGACCAGCCAUGCCGCGUGAAGAAGAGGCCUCGGGUGUAAAGUCUUUCGUAGCGAGGAAGCAUUUAGUUUAAUAAACUAGGUGAUUACUUACUACAGAAGAAGACCGGCAACUCCGUGCCAGCAGCCCGGUAAACGGAGGGUGCAGCGUUAAUCGGAAUAACUGGCGUAAAGGGCACCCAGGCGGUGACUUAAGUGAGGGUGAAAGCCCGGGCUUAACCUGGGAAUUGCAUUCAUACUGGGUCGCUAGAGUACUUUAGGGAGGGGUAGAAUUCCACGUGUAGCGGUGAAAUGCGUAGAGAUGUGGAGGAAUACCGAAGGCGAAGGCAGCCCCUUGGGAAUGUACUGACGCUCAUGUGCGAAAGCGUGGGGAGCAAACAGG
rnacentral:rRNA from 1 species